rnacentral:rRNA from 2 species
UCAUAUGCUUGUCUCAAAGAUUAAGCCAUGCAUGUCUAAGUAUAAGCAAUUAUACGGCGAAACUGCGAAUGGCUCAUUAUAUAAGUUAUCGUUUAUUUGAUAGCACCUUACUACUUGGAUAACCGUGGUAAUUCUAGAGCUAAUACAUGCUAAAAAUCCCGACUUCGGAAGGGAUGUAUUUAUUAGAUUAAAAACCAAUGCCCUCUGGGCUCUCUGGUGAUUCAUGAUAACUUCUCGAAUCGCAUGGCCUUGCGCCGGCGAUGGUUCAUUCAAAUUUCUUCCCUAUCAACUUUCGAUGUUUGGGUAGUGGCCAAACAUGGUUGCAACGGGUAACGGAGGGUUAGGGCUCGACCCCGGAGAAGGAGCCUGAGAAACGGCUACUACAUCCAAGGAAGGCAGCAGGCGCGCAAAUUACCCAAUCCCGACACGGGGAGGUAGUGACAAUAAAUACUGAUACAGGGCUCUUUUGGGUCUUGUAAUUGGAAUGAGUACAAUUUAAAUCCCUUAACGAGGAACAAUUGGAGGGCAAGUCUGGUGCCAGCAGCCGCGGUAAUUCCAGCUCCAAUAGCGUAUAUUAAAGUUGUUGUGGUUAAAAAGCUCGUAGUUGAACCUUGGGCCUGGCUGGCCGGUCCGCCUCACCGCGUGCACUGGUCCGGCCGGGCCUUUCCCUCUGUGGAACCCCAUGCCCUUCACUGGGUGUGGCGGGGAAACAGGACUUUUACUUUGAAAAAAUUAGAGUGCUCCAGGCAGGCCUAUGCUCGAAUACAUUAGCAUGGAAUAAUGAAAUAGGACGUGCGGUUCUAUUUUGUUGGUUUCUAGGACCGCCGUAAUGAUUAAUAGGGACAGUCGGGGGCAUCAGUAUUCAAUUGUCAGAGGUGAAAUUCUUGGAUUUAUUGAAGACUAACUACUGCGAAAGCAUUUGCCAAGGAUGUUUUCAUUAAUCAGGAACGAAAGUUAGGGGAUCGAAGACGAUCAGAUACCGUCGUAGUCUUAACCAUAAACUAUGCCGACUAGGGAUCGGACGAUGUUAUUUUUUGACUCGUUCGGCACCUUACGAGAAAUCAAAGUGCUUGGGCUCCAGGGGGAG